GCUGUGGCUGCCUGUCUUUCCUGCUCCGCGCACUCUGCCAGCUCCAUGGCAAUCGUCCCUUGAAGACGGUCGAAUGGAUGGACGGAUGCAUUCAAAGUGUAGUCAGCGUUGAAAGUGAACGUCACACUCCUGUGAGUGGCAGCAGUGGCGGCGAACCUGUGGCACCUGUACUGCAGCGGGCUGUGUCUAUCAUUGGCAGCUCUAAAAGGUUCGCCAUCACUGCUUUAGAGGAACUGCCGGCCUGUGCUCCAGAGUGACCUCACCG
rnacentral:lncRNA from 1 species